rnacentral:rRNA from 1 species
UGAGCAAUCUGCCCUUCUCUUCGGAAUAAGCGUUGGAAACGACGUCUAAUGCCGAAUACGACCUCCUUUCGCAUGAUCGGAGGUGGAAAGCUCCGGCGGAGAAGGAUGAGCUCGCGGCCUAUCAGCUAGUUGGUGUGGGUAAUGGCCCACCAAGGCGACGACGGGUAGCCGGCCUGAGAGGGUGACCCGGCCACACUGGGACUGAGACACGGCCCAGACUCCUACGGGAGGNAG